UGGAGUAUUGCAUUCACUGCGGGAUUAGCAUCAAGGCGAGAAAAUGGCGUCGGUACAGUCCGUUAUCUUCCAAACUUUCGUAGUUUUACUACUUGCAACCCAAGCGUUUGCAAGAGUCCCUGCUCCAGGUUACCUGUCAGUGGGUGCCAAUGCAGGUGUGGCCCUGGCCAUAGCCUUGGGAUCACUGACCUGUGUUGUGCUGGGCAUUCACCUCUGUCACUUCAUCUACAAGAGGUCACCACAUGCUCAGAAGUCUUAAUCAAAGCCUCAUGGACAUUUCUUCUCACACUUAUCCAUAUAACAUUCUCUUUUGGAUCAAGUGUGGCAUUAUGGACAGCUUUCUAUUUAGAGGAAUUCACUGAUGGGAAAUUAUUCUAGGCUGGCUAGUAUGGAGACCAUUUGUGGAUAUAACAUUAGAGAAACAGUGAAGCAUUUCACCCUGUACUUAAUCAUAACUCAAUAUACCAAAUAUGCAUAUGAUACAUAACAUUACUCCGACUAUAUGCUCUGAAUUCAGUCACUUGAACUGCCAUAUCAAAACUUAUUUCCUUGGAACUACUGAGCUUGGUAUAUCACAUAUACAGAUAACAGUGGAAUAAUUUGAUGAACCAGCAUCGGCUUUCUGAACUGAGUUGGCACCUUUAGACAGUGUUACAAAUCCUAUUGGCCCCUUGCACCAGUAUUUCAUAUCAUAUGAUCAGAAGUUGAUAUACUCACUGUGUAUUUUGAUGAUCCCUACAGGAUAUGUGUGAAAAACAUUCUCAACAUGGCAUUUCUUGUUAUCUUGUUUUCUGUUUGUUGAAUGAAAGUGUAGCAGUAGAAGUGAAAUAAUUUCCCGAAAGGAAAAAAAAUUGGCGUGACCGCUUGAACCUGUUUUGGCAGCAGGGUUUGGCGACUUAUUAACAACUGUAGACAAUGUAAUAUGCUGUUUGCAGUCUUAAAUGAUGCCAGGUUAUUAUUAUCACUAAAUGCUGAUCAUUUAUCUCUUAAAGUUACAAAAAUAAUUGAUUUUUUAGAAAAAUGUUAAUUACUGUGUGAUAUUGUUAAUGGAUGGUAACUAUGUAAUUAUUGCAUUAAUUUGUGUACACUUUAAUAAUUUUUUAAGUAGUUGCGUAAUUUGUAUCUCUAUCACAAGUCCCAUCUGCAUGAUAGAGAAAUUAUUUUAGUGACCUUUAUGUUUUGUAAAGUGUGUUACAGAAGCAUUUAUUGGCUAGUUAAAAAAAGAUGUAAAAUUUUCUGUCUGUUUUCAGUCCUCAGAUUUGAUCUUUACAACGUAGUUUGUAAAAGCCAUAGGCUUUUUACAAGAAAUAACAGCAAGAUCAAUAAAUGUGUAAAAAAAUUAAA